rnacentral:ribozyme from 1 species
CCCCAACGAACGCGCAGACACCUUACGUGGUGUUGGGGAUCAGUACUUGCAGUCACGGUGUUGUGACUGUUUGAGGAAGCUAAGAUCUGC